CAGCAGCCGCGGGAAUACGAAGGGGGCUAGCGUUGUUCGGAAUUACUGGGCGUAAAGCGCACGUAGGCGGAUUGCUAAGUCGGGGGUGAAAUCCUGAGGCUCAACCUCAGAACUGCCUUCGAUACUGGCGAUCUUGAGUUCGGAAGAGGUUGGUGGAACAGCUAGUGUAGAGGUGAAAUUCGUAGAUAUUAGCUAGAACACCAGUGGCGAAGGCGGCCAACUGGUCCGACACUGACGCUGAGGUGCGAAAGCGUGGGGAGCAAACAGGAUUAGAUACCCGCGUAGUCCCUGUCUCUUAUAC
rnacentral:rRNA from 1 species